CACGUAGGGUGCGAGCGUUGUCCGGAAUUAUUGGGCGUAAAGAGCUCGUAGGCGGUGUGUCGCGUCGGCCGUGAAAACCUGCAGCUUAACUGUGGGCUUGCGGUCGAUACGGGCAUCACUGGAGUUCGGCAGGGGAGACUGGAAUUCCUGGUGUAGCGGUGAAAUGCGCAGAUAUCAGGAGGAACACCGGCUGGCGAAGGCGGGUCUCUGGGCCGAUACUGACGGCUGGAGGAGCGAAAGCCGUGGGGAGCGAACAGG
rnacentral:rRNA from 1 species